CAAUAAGCUAACAAGCUAACUACACCCAAUUUGAGCCAGAACCUUUCCUUUUUUGUUUGAUCAUUUAUUGAAGUGAUUGAUAUUUCAGGCUGAGAGGAUAAUGGCCUGUUAAAUAUGGUUGAUUAAGCUGUGUACUUCUAGCCGACAGUUAUGUUAGCAUUAGUUCGUUAACAGUAAGUAAAUAUAAGACUAACCUCUGUACUCCAGCUAGCCGGCUACUUCUGUUGCUCCCGGUCUGCACGUUUUACGUUGCUUAAGUGUGGAUCAAUUGAGACAGCGUGCAGAGACUUUGGGAGAAACCUCAGCAUGACGGAUGUCCUGUCUGUGGGUUUGGCUGGAGAGGACUGAGGUGGAGAGGUCUUUCUCUGGCAGGAGGACCAGGCCUGAUGGAGGAGGACCAGGCCUGAUGAAGAAACCACCUAACUGCAUCUGUGAGCACAUACUGGGCUCAGCUGUGACAAACAAAUGAUGGUCCUGUUUGACUUUGUGUUCACAAUAAAAGUGUAGUUUCUUA